UCGAAAUAUGAGUUACUUGCGCUAAAAAGUUUAGUAAAAAUAAAGAAUUUACUAAUAAUAAAUGCAAAGUAUAGUAAGUAUAACCUACUUUACUUGUUUCCCUUUCUUCUUCUUCCUAGUGUGCAACUCAGAUCACAGGGAGGCUCGAGGAAAAUUGAGGAAGGAGAUCUGAUGUACUUUCUUGUGGAUCUUAAUUAUUCUGGAGAUCAUGAUCGCCGUAGAGCAUAAAGAUACUAUGCACACGAACCAUGAGGCAUCUCUAAGAUGCCUCCAGAGUGCAAGCUAUCCCCAUAAUCUGCACUUCAGUAGGACUGCGGUCAAAGUCUUAGGGGAGCCUAGUGAUGGCACCUAUAUUCAUCCAGGUGGGGAUAGCUUGGACUGUACAUUGAGUGGUGAGCCAAUUGAGUCUUCAAAAGAAUCUCCAAGCCACACAGUCUAUCAGCAUGGAUUUGGUUUAUGGUCUGCCUUUUAUCCUAACUCAAAUAUGCAUCUGCGCUCUGUGAAUGCUGUUGAAAGCCAGGCCUAUCCAUAUUCAGUGGAUAAUCACUACCAUUAUAGCCUAUUAAACAUGUU